AGUGUUUUUUAUAAUGUUUCGUGUUCAUUGUUCAGUAUGUUCAGUGCCUAUGACCCAGUUUGAGUAAAAGUAGCUCUACUUUUUUCCACCUCCUGAAAACAAAACGAAUACUUUUGCGAUUAACUGGAAAAUGGCUAAUUCAAGUAAUUUCAUUGGCAAUUCGACCAUGGACAGUUUUUGUGGAUCUACUUUUUGGAAUCAAACAUUAACCUGGGACACCAACGAUCCAGAAUUAACGAAAUGCUUUGAAAAAACAGUGCUGGUGUGGAUUCCUUGUUUUUUUCUAUGGACAUUUACAAGUUUGGAAGUGUUUUAUAUUUUCAAUAGUAAAAAAAGAGAUAUUCCGUGGAAUUGGUUAAAUUUACUGAAAUUAGGAGUUACGGGUACUCUCGUAGUUUUAACUUUAAGUGAUAUAGUGACAUCAUUCAAAUCUGCAGCUGAAAAUGAUAGUGAAGUGUACAGUGUAGAUAUUUAUUCACCAUUAAUCAAAUUAUUCAGUUUUGUAAGUAUAUCCUGAAGUUACAGUUA